UACGUAGGGUGCAAGCGUUAAUCGGAAUUACUGGGCGUAAAGCGUGCGCAGGCGGUUGUGCAAGACAGAUGUGAAAUCCCCGGGCUUAAACUGGGAAUUGCAUUUGUGACUGCACGGCUAGAGUGUGUCAGAGGGGGGUAGAAUUCCACGUGUAGCAGUGAAAUGCGUAGAUAUGUGGAGGAAUACCGAUGGCGAAGGCAGCCCCCUGGGAUAACACUGACGCUCAUGCACGAAAGCGUGGGGAGCAAACAGG
rnacentral:rRNA from 1 species